GUGAGGAAUUUUCCGCAAUGGGCGAAAGCCUGACGGAGCAAUGCCGCGUGAAGGAUGAAGGCCUAUGGGUUGUGAACUUCUUUUCUCAGAAAAGAAUUAUGACGGUAUCUGAGGAAUAAGCAUCGGCUAACUCUGUGCCAGCAGCCGCGGUAAGACAGAGGAUGCAAGCGUUAUCCGGAAUGAUUGGGCGUAAAGCGUCUGUAGGUUGUUUAAAAAGUAUUCUGUCAAAGAUUAGGGCUUAACCCUAGAUAGGCAGAAUAAACUUUUAAGCUAGAGUUUGGUAGAGGCAGAGGGAAUUCCCGGUGGAGCGGUGAAAUGCGUAGAUAUCGGGAGGAACACCAAAGGCGAAGGCACUCUGCUGGGCCAAUACUAACACUGAGAGACGAAAGCGAGGGGAGCAAAUGGGAUUAGAAACCCCUGUAGUCC
rnacentral:rRNA from 1 species